rnacentral:tRNA from 1 species
GCGGGAGUAGCUCAGUUGGUGGAGCGCCAGCCUUCCAAGCUGGAUGUCGCGGGUUCGAACCCCGUCUCCCGCUCCA